rnacentral:sRNA from 1 species
AGAAAUCAGGCUCUCUUAAGCUCACUAAUUUUGGUCAUUGAAGUGAACUGAAAUGAAAGGAUAUAAUUUAUUCUCUUGCUUCAUUACAGAAUCUUGCUGCUGAGAAAACAUACAAUAACCUAGAUAUCACAGUGACCCAGGCCCUUCAGCACCGUUCACAGUAUUUUGAAGGUGUUGUGAAGUGCAAUAAGCUGGAAAUACUGGAGACCAUUGUGGACAGAAUAGUAAGAGCUGAGGUCCAUCGGCUGGUGGUGGUCAAUGAAGCAGAUAGUAUUGUGGGUAUUAUUUCCCUGUCAGACAUUCUGCAAGCCCUGAUCCUCACACCAGCAGGUGCCAAACAAAAGGAGACGGAAACGGAGUGACCGCCGUGAAUGUAGACGCCCUAGGAGGAGAACUUGAACAAAGUUUCUGGGUCACGUUUUGCCUCAUGAACACUGGCUGCAAGUGGUUAAGAAUGUAUAUCGGUUUAACGAUGGGUAUUUCUUCCAGUGAUGUUGAAAUUAAGCUUAAAAAAGAAAGAUUUUAUGUGCUUGAAGAUUCAGGCUUGCAUUAAAAGACUUUUCAGA